AGUGAACCAUCCAAAAAUGAAAUUAAGGAGACAGCCCUGGUGCAGUGGCUCAUGGAUGUAAUCCUAGCACUUUGGGAGGCUUUAAGAGGCUGAAUUGCUUGAGGCCAGGAAUUUAAAACCAGCCUGAUCAACAGAGACUCCAUCUCUACCAGAAAACGAACAAAAAAAGUUAUCCAGGUGUGGUGGCAUGCCCCUGUAGUC
rnacentral:lncRNA from 1 species